CAAUAGCUCAGUUGGUAGAGCACUCGCCUUUUAAGCGAGGGCGCGUGGGUUCGAAUCCCGCUUGGCG
rnacentral:tRNA from 1 species